UCAAGCGUUAAAAAGGGCAUUUGGUGAAUGCCUUGGCAAUCAGAGGCGAUGAAGGACGUGGCAGGCUGCGAUAAGCCGCGGGAAGGUGUCAACAACCGUUGAUCCGCGGAUGUCCGAAUGGGGAAACCCACCUCUUUAUGAGGUAUCCCGUACUGAAUACAUAGGUACGUGGAAGCAAACCCGGAGAAUUGAAACAUCUCAGUAUCCGGAGGAAAGGAAAUCAACCGAGACUCCCCUAGUAGUGGCGAGCGAAAGGGGACUAGCCCAGUGGCGUUUGUGUAAUAACCGGAAGCAUCUGGAAAGUUGCUCCAAAGUGGGUGAUAGGCCCGUACGGGUAAAAAGCACAGACGUCCUCGAGUAAGGCGGGACACGAGUAAUCCUGUCUGAACAUGGGGGGACCAUCCUCCAAGGCUAAGUACUACUGAUUGACCGAUAGUGAACAAGUACCGUGAGGGAAAGGUGAAAAGAACCCCGAUGAGGGGAGUGAAACAGACCUGAAACCGAAUGCCUACAAACAGUUGGAGCGGCUAUAUGCCGUGACAGCGUACCUUUUGUAUUAUGGGUCCGCGAGUUAGUGUUGCAUGCGAGCUUAAGGCGAUAGCUGAAGGCGUAGCGAAAGCGAGUCUGAAUAGGGCGCUUAGUAUGCAGUAUUAGACCCGAAACCCGGUGAUCUAGUCAUGGUCAGGUUGAAGGUAGGGUAACACCUACUGGAGGACCGAACCCACUACCGUUGAAAAGGUAGGGGAUGAACUGUGAUUAGGGGUGAAAGGCCAAUCAAACCGGGUAAUAGCUGGUUCUCCGCGAAAUCUAUUUAGGUAGAGCGUCAUGUAUUACCGUCGGGG
rnacentral:rRNA from 1 species